rnacentral:tRNA from 1 species
GCGCCCGUAGCUCAAUUGGAAGAGCAGCGGCCUUCGGAGCCGCGGGUUGGGGGUUCGAGUCCCUCCGGGCGUACCA